UACGGAGGAUUCGAGCGUUAUCCGGAUUUAUUGGGUUUAAAGGGAGCGUAGGCGGGUUGUUAAGUCAGUUGUGAAAGUUUGCGGCUCAACCGUAAAAUUGCAGUUGAUACUGGCAUCCUUGAGUACAGUAGAGGUAGGCGGAAUUCGUGGUGUAGCGGUGAAAUGCUUAGAUAUCACGAAGAACUCCGAUUGCGAAGGCAGCCUGCUGGACUGUAGCUGACGCUGAUGCUCGAAAGUGUGGGUAUCAAACAGG
rnacentral:rRNA from 1 species